rnacentral:ribozyme from 1 species
UAAAUGGGUUAUUGUUGCCCAGGGCUGUCCGUGGUACCGGAGAUAGGCAUCCGAGUAGUUCCAAGACUGCAACAAUCGGCCGAAUUGCGUAAGACCGACGGCAGUGUACAUCUUUGAGAGUACUGUCGCAAGGGAACGUGCCAAUCCGGAGAAUGGGGUGAAACUCCUCUGAAAUCCGGUGUUGCUUUAUACCACGGGAAGCCCAAACAGAAUGAAACACGCAGAUAGUUGUCGCAUUUGCGGAACAUUAAUUCUGA